CACGUAGUUAGCCGUGGCUUUCUGGUUAGGUACCGUCAAGGUACCAGCAGUUACUCUGGUACUUGUUCUUCCCUAACAACAGAACUUUACGACCCGAAGGCCUUCAUCGUUCACGCGGCGUUGCUCCGUCAGACUUUCGUCCAUUGCGGAAGAUUCCCUACUGCUGCCUCCCGUAGGAGUCUGGGCCGUGUCUCAGUCCCAGUGUGGCCGAUCACCCUCUCAGGUCGGCUACGCAUCGUUGCCUUGGUGAGCCGUUACCUCACCAACUAGCUAAUGCGCCGCGGGUCCAUCUGUAAGUGACAGCCAAAGCCGUCUUUCAAUUUUGAACCAUGCGGUUCAAAAUGUUAUCCGGUAUUAGCUCCGGUUUCCCGGAGUUAUCCCAAUCUUACAGGCAGGUUACCCACGUGUUACUCACCCGUCCGCCGCUAAUCUUUGGGAGCAAGCUCCCUCAGAUUCGCUCGACUUGCAUGUAUUAGGCACGCCGCCAGCGUUCGUCCUGAGCCAGGAUCAAACUCU
rnacentral:rRNA from 1 species